rnacentral:rRNA from 1 species
UACGUAGGGAGCAAGCGUUGUCCGGAAUCAUUGGGCGUAAAGCGCGCGUAGGUGGUUUGGUAAGCGAUAUGUGAAAUCCCCGGGCUCAACCUGGGAACUGCAUGUCGAACUGUCAGGCUAGAGUAUGGUAGAGGGGUGUGGAAUUUCCUGUGUAGCGGUGAAAUGCGUAGAUAUCGGAAGGAACAUCAGUGGCGAAAGCGGCUUCCUGGACCAGUACCGACGUUCAGGCACGAAAGCGUGGGGAGCAAACAGG